GGGGCCGCGCAGGAAGCCGAGCGCGGGCCGGGCGGGGCUCGUCGCCCCGGAGCCAGGGGCGCUCUGACGAGGACGCCGCCGGCUUCCCUAGGAGCGGCCCCGGCUAGACCGGCCCCGCGCCGCGGACAUACCCCCCGUUCCUCCCGGCAGCCCCCCACCCCCAGCCCGGGGUUUCACGCGGCCGAGGCUGCCGUUAGGCCAGGGCAAUGCUGCUCCGACCCAUCUCAGUUCCUUUGCACCAAAUAUCAAGAGUUGAGACUCUAAUGCAGAGAGAAUGGAGGUUUAAAAAGCCCGCUCCUAAGCGACCAGAGGAGCUAGCAAACAGGAGCAGCUAACAAGAGUUUCAUGAGGGAGUUCUCCAGGUAAAGGAGGACCCUUGGGGGGCACCUGGCAUUGGCUACUGUCGGAAGCAGGAUACUGGGCUAGAUGGACCUUUGCUCUGACCCAGUAUGGCCAUUCUUAUGAAUGGGAUGCUUAAAAUGAAAGGCAGAUAUCUUAGGUCUAACAGGAAAUCUAGGAUAGCCGAGAUAAGGAGAUGGAUACAAGUUGCUAGAGCUGACAUGAAAAACUGAAUCUCUUCCACUUCUGCAAGCAAGUGAUUUGGGUUGACUUCUUUCUACUGUUCAGUAACACUUGUACUUCCACAGAACAGGUUCCUUAUUGUACUAACCAGCCUUUUGGAACUCGUGUCCUCCGUCAACCUGUACAACCCUUUGAAACACUUCAAGUGGCCAGAGAGGUGACAACUUAGUGGCUAAAGGCAUCCUCUCGUCAGUUCUAGGGAUGCUUUAUGCUUCCAUACCUUGCACAGUACACAACACACCAUUUUAAGAUCAUCAGAAUGGUUUCUCAUUAGGGGCAUUCAUGAAAGAGUACACCAUUUCCCCAGCUCUCUUUGUGCUCCAUUCUUUUCAGAGAGCAGGGAACUGAAGUAUGUAAUCCUAGCAACCUUAGUCAUAAUGGAACAGUCCAUUGUUGGGCAAUUCCACUGCAUACAGAAACUUCUGCUCAAAAUUAUGGGGCUAGGAAUAUUCAGCCAAUUGAUGGCAUUUGAUUUGGGGUAAUUGACUGGUCUGUAUUUUUCAUUGGUUUUAAUUUUUACAAGAAUGCCAAGAACACCUGGAGCUUUGAAUGGGAGCAUUUACUAAAAUACAUAAAAACCCAACUAAAUAAAUGACUGGAUGAAGAAAUCUGUAGGGGUUAUUCUUCUCCCCUCAUUGUACGCCAACAUUCCUUGCACCUGCCAUUUUUGUUUUUUUUAAACAGAGUCCUCCACACAUAUCACACAUUGCUUUAGGAGAAAAAUCACAGACUAAACUGAACAAGAUAAGCAAGGCAAGACAGAGAGGAAGCGACUCAGAAGCUCUAAAGGGUUACAGUUACUCUUUCAUGAGCUACUCCAUCUACCUCCUGCAGAGUAGCAGGGAAUGGGAGUGGAGCAGGCAGGCAAAGGAGUACUAUGUACAGGUCAGAGAGAAGAGCUGAAUGAGGAUAUAGG